rnacentral:lncRNA from 1 species
GCCCUUGCCAUCUACAUGGUACUAUAAAUCUGGUUAAAUGCUCUGGCUGGGGGAAAAGAAAAACAAAACAAAACAACAGCAGCAACAACAACCAAAACCUCUGGCUGGGAGGUCAUAGGCCCUUAUAGGGCAUCCACUGCUGUCGUUUUGCAAAGCGGACGUGAUGCGCCUGUCUAACUGCCUUCUAGAUAACUUUCUGUCUAUAGAGUAGUGGUGCUUUCAGUUUUGGUCAGAGAACGUACUGUCUGCAGUGAUAGGCAGUGACUGCAGAGACAACUCUGGUCAGAGUUCUGAGAAUAAACCACUGAAUUUUACUGUGUAGAUCAGGCUGGUCUUAAAACUCACAGAAAUCUGCCUGCCUCUGUCUCCUGAGUGCCAGGAUUUAAAGGCCUAUCUUUCCAGUGUAAAGGCAGGCGAAGGCGGUUGAAGAGGUGGGGAAUGCUAAUCUCUAAGUGGGACUUGGGUGUUACACUCUUGAGCUCAUGGAAGCUGUGCCACUCGUAGAGGAUCCACACAAACUUGAGUUUGUGUCAACUCAACACUCUGUCGCGGAGGGUAAGGGAUUCAUGGAGUCCCACCCCAGCCUGAAGAUCUCUAUGCCGGUAAUGGUUGGCAGGGAAGGGAGAGAAGUCAUCUUCAGUGUGAGACUCUGGUAAGCUAUGCAUGCUCCCCUAAACUACCCUAAUGAAGCUCACUGGGAUUGAAAACUAAAAAAGACAUGAAAGUGGGAGGCAGGAGAUGGUUGGCAAGAGGAGAGGGGUUAGGUGUGAAGAGAAGAGAGGGUAAGACUGAAUGCGUAGUGUAAUCGGAAUGCAUUAACUACAAUAUGAAAAUGUCAUGUAAUCCAUUAUGUGUG